GCCCGAGUGGCCCAACGGUAAGGCACUCGCCUUGUAAGCGAACGACUGUCGGUUCGACUCCGACCUCGGGCUCCA
rnacentral:tRNA from 1 species